AGGGGCUUAGGAUAGCCUUAGACCAAGAGCCUUCAAAGCUCUAAGCGAGAGUUAGAAUCUCUCAGCCCCUG
rnacentral:tRNA from 1 species